rnacentral:rRNA from 1 species
UACGUAGGGGGCAAGCGUUGUCCGGAUUUAUUGGGCGUAAAGAGCGUGUAGGCGGCCAGGUAGGUCUGCUGUGAAAACUCGAGGCUCAACCUCGAGAUGUCGGCGGAAACCCUCUGGCUAGAGUCCGGAAGAGGAGAGUGGAAUUCCCGGUGUAGCGGUGAAAUGCGCAGAUAUCGGGAAGAACACCCGUGGCGAAGGCGGUUCUCUGGGCCUUACCUGACGCUGAGGAGCGAAAGCGUGGGGAGCGAACAGG